ACUCCUACGGGAGGCAGCAGUGGGGAAUAUUGCACAAUGGGGGAAACCCUGAUGCAGCAACGCCGCGUGAGUGAUGACGGCCUUCGGGUUGUAAAACUCUGUCUUUGGGGACGAUAAUGACGGUACCCAAGGAGGAAGCCACGGCUAACUACGUGCCAGCAGCCGCGGUAAUACGUAGGUGGCAAGCGUUGUCCGGAUUUACUGGGCGUAAAGGGAGCGUAGGUGGAUAUUUAAGUGGGAUGUGAAAUACUCGGGCUUAACCUGGGUGCUGCAUUCCAAACUGGAUAUCUAGAGUGCAGGAGAGGAAAGGAGAAUUCCUAGUGUAGCGGUGAAAUGCGUAGAGAUUAGGAAGAAUACCAGUGGCGAAGGCGCCUUUCUGGACUGUAACUGACACUGAGGCUCGAAAGCGUGGGGAGCAAACAGGAUUAGAUACCCUGGUAGUC
rnacentral:rRNA from 1 species